GGACAUGUAAAGAACAAGUGUUCUGAGCUUCCUAUCUCUCCCAAUGGAGAGGUGCAAAGUCUCUGAGCAUACGGGACCCUUCUAAAGGCUCCAUCCAGGACCGGCGAGGGAAGAGCCAAGCUUCUGGUGAGUUUAAAGGCCCUUCUUGCAUCCCUAGAUAUGAGAAAGAAGAGAUAUGCUGGCGGUGCGGCUAUAUCUCUCUCGUUUUCUCCAAUUCUAUAGUUGGGGCACCUUGCACAGUCCUGCUGUCUCUCGGUGUCUAAUUACUAAUACAUGAAUUUUGACUUUACCCCAAUACAUGCAUUUGUGUAAACAUUACUUGGCUGGAGAACGGCACUGCAAAAUUCAGGAAAGUGUGAAUUUUAAAGAUUGGCUGUGUUUUGGUUCCCAUAUUGUUUCAGAACAUUUGGAUUAGUUUAGUUUGCCUUUGAAUGCAAUCUGAAUCAAAUUUCUCCCCCAGCCCUAGUCCUGGAUGAUGGUAGUAGCAGUGCAAAAAACAUCUGGAGGGUCAUAAAUUCCUCUCUCAAACUAUGAGCUAAAAUCCCAGUAUAUAGUGGGCAAGUACAACAAUUUGUGAAAUGGAGGGGAGACAUGCCCCCUUCCAUUCUCUAUAUGUGUAACAUGGCAGUUGUGCAUGAUGAGAUGAUUUAUGAAAUAUUUCAGGGGAGUUGGAGAACUGCGUUGUCAUAUUCGGGGGUGUGAACAUUGCAAAAGAAAGCUGCAUUUCAGUUCAUCCAUUGUUUCCAGCAGUGUGAAUGGGGAGUUUUCCAUUACAUGAGAAUUGAACAGUUCUGCCCAUCCCUAGAUACACUGAGGUACAGUACAAAUAAAUCUUUUUUUGUGGGGGGUGGGGGGGAAUGGAGAACAUUUCGAUUCAAUGAGGGUUCAAUGAGAAUUUAAUGAGGACUGAAUACAGCCACUGGCUAUGGAAUGCUGAUUUCCAGGGAGACAUGGAAUAGACUGGAGUAUCCUGGUGUAGGGGAUGAUUUAUUGAUUGGAACCCAGACCAGGAGCACUCCACACUGUGCCAUUUUGUCCCAAGUCCCCCUUGUAGAGAGGAUAUAUAGUAACAAUUUUCCUUAGAGCAACAACAAAAAAACUGCUCUUUAGCAAAGUGCCUGUCCAACUAAAGCAGACAUUCAUGCUUGCUUCCACUAUCCUUUCUUAAAAUAUCUGGCUUUUUAGAUCAUACCAGGUCAAGCAACCAAAGCUUUUAACAUAAUAGGUAACAUGAAUAUAUAGCAGAAGUGUAUAAACCUAGAUCUAUACAUCCUAGCUGAGCAAAUGGGUUGUUGUUUCUACAUGAAAUGAUUCAAGCAGCACAAUCUCUGUACAUUUAUGGCAGACAUAGACACGGAUAUGAAGUUUGACACCACCAGAUGUGUGUUAUAACAUGGCCACUAGGCCAUAAUCACUUUCCAAGCUCUGUGCUCUGCCAUAGCGUCAUGAGCAAAUCUAGUUAGCAGUUUUCAUCCUGGAUAUUCCCUGUUCUGUUCACAGGCUUGCAUGCCAGAUAGCCUAAAGGCAGCAGGAAAUGGACAAACUGCUGAUGAUAUUUGUCAUAAUGUGCCAGCUCUUUGAGUGUGAUCACAUCCCAUUGUCCCCACUUGGCUUCACAGUGAGGUGUAAGUAUCUGAGUUUUGAUGUAGAGUCAAGUUAAGAUGUGUUAAGUGUGUGGAUGUUUUAAGGUGGGUGCAACGUGUUUAUGGCACAGGAUUGAGAGCCAUGUGGGGUAGAUGAUAUAUCUCACAAAAUGCUGGAAUGAUCUUGCAGAGCCUAUGGUCUCGGCACUGUCUGCCUUCAUUUAGCCAUUUUAAAGCUGAACAAUAUGAAAUACUUAAUUUUGAAUAGUUAGGAUGUUUUUUAAAAAAACAAGGUAAAAAAAGAACAGUUAUUUUAAUACAGGACAAGCCUGUUUCAAACACCACCUUUUGAUGUCACACACAAACAGGAUUUAUAACCCUUUUAUGAAUUGCACAAAUUCAAAAAUGACGACAGCUCCUAACCUUAUUAUCCUUUUAGUAAAGGAGGCUGCUCUAUUAAGGUGAGAAGGACACUGCCCUGACCGAACUGUAAGGGUAUUUAAUUUAACUUAAUUUCUUCCCAAAAUCUUGAGUCGCAUUCUCUGCUGCUCCCCUCCUUCAUGUCCUUCAGUUUGUAAUUACAGAGACUUUUGGAUAUAUUUCUAUCAGUCUCCCCUGUUGUGUCCAAUCAGAUAUUUGUGCAAUACAUAAUCCCUAUGGCCAGGCCCCUCCCAUCCAUCUCCAGAAGAAAAACAACUCAGCUUUUAAAAUAAACAAAUAAAUGCAAUUUUGCCUGGAUAUUUGGACCCUAUAAACUUGCAGAUUUGGAUGCCCCCACCCUCUUCUUUUGUCCUAUUCAGGACAAGGCUGAGGACUAUAACUUGGGUGCUGAUCUGAGGAGACCAGAAGAGACUACCACAAACCCAAUUAUCCCAACUUUGUUCUGAAUACAGUGCAUUCAGAGGUGGGGCAAUUCAAAAUACUAGUAGUUGCUGUUAGCAGGGGCAGCUAAAAUAGACGGAGUACAAAGAGUAAAUCCUGGUAAAACUUUACUGGAGGGAGGGGAGCUGAACAAAACAAUAACUUGAGCAGAAAGACGUGGGGGGGGGCUUCCUUUUGACAGUCCUUGUUGGAAGUAGGGUUAGAUUCAACCUACUCACAGCUAGGCAGCCUAUCAGAGCUUGUGCUACCUCAUUAAAGUUGAUGACACCUUCCCUGGUUUGCUAUGCAGAAUCUCCAGCCAUCUCUUGGGCAGCUGACUAACACAGAACAAAAUUAAUUCUUACACAUGCUGAAUGAUCUCUGCUGCUGCAGUUGAAACAUCUGCUUUUCCUUCAGUCACAUAUACACUGAUAAUUCAUUUGAUUUGGUUUGAUUCCAUUUUCUAGCUAUUUUCAUCCCCAGGGCUUCCUAGGGAUGUUCUCCUAUGGAGAAAAAAUGCACUUAAAGUUAGAAAAACAUUAAAAUAGCUUUAAUGGUUUUUCAUUGUUUACAUCAAGAUGAAGCAGAGGAAAUUGAAGGUGAAAUCAAUCUAAAACUUUUUAUUUUGUUGACUACUUUGCAUAAAUAAAAAUGUAAAGGUGAUAAUCUCUCCUUUGUCACAACAGCAGAUGGAAAGUAGGUCUCCACUUUUCAUUUCCUUCCAUUUGUCAAUUUGUGUCAGGCUCUUAAUAUAUUAGAACAAUUUAUGAUGCUAAAUUUAUCUUAGUGGCACAAGAUAAUGACACUGUAAUCAAUGUCUCUUUUGCAAUUUCAUUUUCAGGAGUAUAUAAUUCAAGGCAAUAAUUCAUCCAAGCCAAACUUGGCAACAAAAAGAAAAGGGGGGAACCAACCAUAACUGUUUUCAUGGUAGUGUUGACUUUUCAUAGUAAAGGACUGUACAUGAACCUCUGUGUCUCAGAUUCUGAAAGCUAUACAAUGUUCUAUCUUCUAAAACUUUCAGUUUAGAAAAAACAGUAUUUGGCACUUCAUUGAGGUGAACUGGAGUCUACAUCUCUGCUUUGUUUAAAAUAGAGAUAACACCACGCUAUGAGUCUUCUGUUAAUGGCUGAUCACAUCACUAAUGGUGCCUAGAACCAGCUGUUGAUUAUAUAUAUUAUAAAACUUGUUCCUUUGUUCCUUGAAUCACAGAGGAAAGGACUUUGGAGAUUCUGAAUUUGAAAAAUGCAGCGUGACUCUUAAAAAAGGAACUCAUAAGAAGAUAGUUUACAUAGUGAGAAAGGAUAUUUUUCUGUAAUGUCAUGUAUAAGAUGGUUGAAAAUGCAGUCUGGGCAUCUUUAACAUAUUGGUUAUUGGUGCAGUGCUUUCAUCCCAAUAAAACAUUCCUCUAAUACUGUUUGACAUUUGGUAGAAUUGUUGAUGAUCUCCAGCACAGGCUUUACUUGAGAUAUUAUACUCCUUUUUAAGUCUUGGAAGUGG